rnacentral:lncRNA from 1 species
GGGUCUUGUAGUCAAGAACCUCAUCUGCCCCUAAGCUCUUGACAAAUUCAAUGUUCCGAGCUCCACAAGUAGCUGUAACAUGCGUGUUUCCAAGCUUUGCUAGUUGGACUGCAUAUUGACCCACACCACCAGAGGCAGCAGUAAUCAGUAUGUUCUUUUGCUGGCCGCUUCCGUCCAGCUUGACCCCAGCAGCCUGCGUGAGACACUGGUGAGCUGUGAGGCCAGCAACAGGUAAGCCUGCACCUUCAGCUGCUGAUACUUCAGGUGGCCUGGUCACUGUCAAGUUCUCAGUAGCUGCAGCGUACUUGGCCAGUCCACCUCCCUUUUAUACGACAACAAAGAAAAGUGAGCCACAGAUGAUAGCAGUGACAAACAAAUGAAGAUAGGAUUUAACCAAAGGAAUAAAACGAAAACUUACAGCUUGGGAAAGAUAUGCCACAACUUUGUCGCCAGGUUUGAACUUUUGGACCCCCUGUCCAACUUCUACAACCUCUCCAGCAACAUCAGUAACUGUUUUCAACAAUAUCAUUAGCCAAUGUCAACAAACAAGAGUGUACAAACCACAAAACAACUCGUCUUGCAAUAUAGGAGCAUAAUUUGUUUCAGAAUGUUGCUAAUUUAUCUACCUCACAACUCUCCCCAACAACACGAAACUGAUCAAAUUCCGGUAAAUGUAUCAAUCAGUUCAACGCUGUAGUACUUAAUCAAACACCGGGAAAAACAGAAAUUACCGGGUGUAUAAGGGAAUUUGCGGGGCAAAAAAGGCCGCAACAUGCCUUUCUGAAUUUUCCAAUCAAUUGGGUUUAUACUGGCUGCUUCCAGUUUCAGCAAAACCUCGCCUUUCGUCGGAGGGGGGAUCGGAACCUCUACAUGCUGCAACAACCAUACAAUUUUGCAUAAACAAUUUAUUAAGGUAGCUCUCACAUGUACUACUUUCUCCAUGGAUUUUUAUUGCCCUUCAAAAUCAAGGGCACAUAUUCAAUCAACAUUGCAGCAUUUUCUCAAGAGUUAUCAUUCAUCUCUUCGGUUUUUAUUUUAUUUAUUUGGGAUUUCAGAGCCUAAUUAUACAAGUAAUACAUUUUCUUUUUACACCGAAGAGUAUUGAGCAUUAAUGAAAUCCCAGAAGCAAAAAUCACCAAUAAAAUAAGAAUAAAAGACAUGAGAAAUCUACAAAAUAAUGUUUUUACAGAAAAAUAGAGAAUAAAAAAGAAGGCGACAAUCGUAAAGAAAGAACCUUUAAACCAGAAGCUCCUCCGCCAUAGCCGUCGUACUGAACCGCAUGCAUAAGCUUCGACGCCAUUGCUGCCAUCCCCUGAGUCGGCAGAGAGAUAGAGAGGGGCGACAGAGAGUGCGUGUGUGUUUUCCUAGAUUCUUUGCGGGAGCGGCUUUAGACGUCUUGUAUACCAGACGUGGACGCACAGCAAGUUGCCAAGUGUUAUAUUAUUGUGAAUGACGGAAAUAACCUUUUAUUUUAUUAUAUUGAUGUUUCGGUUUUCGAUUUUUCUCGAUUUUUUUAUUACCAAAAUAUAAAAUUUGGUGUUUUAAGAAAAGAGAUUGUUAUUGGUACUUUAAAAAUCUAAUUUUGCACUCCAAACUUUCUAUAAUUAGAAAGAAAAAAACGCUUGUGAGGAGUGUAGAAUGAGAUUUAUGAAAUGUCCCUUAAGAAAUUCUAUGUAAUUCAAUGAAAUUAUAUGUAAUUAAAUAUUGAUCACUUAUCGAUAAAAAAGUAAAAACGAAGUCAAAUAUAUAUUGACCUUAAAUCGUUCAAAUACUAAACCAUUGUAUCCCACUUUUUCAGGGCCUAAAAAAGUGAGUAAUAUUAUUCAUACUAUAUUUUUGUACUACAUUUUCAUAUCAUCUUAAGUGGCAUUUGAGGUAAACAGUUUAUUUCUUGAAAAAUUAUGAUAAAAAAAUUGUAUGCGGAGAUUUAUCGAAAAAAAGAAAAUUGUAUGCAAAGAGUACUGACUUUUUAAUAUAGUAAGCUAACUACAAUUUACAUCAUAAUUUUACAAUUGUAUCAAUUUACAUCUUUUGAAUAUUUGAAUGUACUAAUAUCCAUUAAGUUGAUGAGUUUUUCAAUCAAUGUGGUGCAUAUAUAACUUACAAAUCAUCGCAAUUACGGAUUUCAUAAUUACCAUGUCAUCAACUUGAUGAAGAUUUAAACACUAACAAAAUGGUACAAGUCAAAAUCUUAGGGGGCAAUACGAAAAAAAUAUAGAGGGUGUAAAAUAUAUAUAGCCAUAAUAUAAUAGGAUGUAUGGGAUGCACACCCAACAAUACUUACUAUAAAAUGUACUUAACAAUAAAAUUAACAUUAAUUUAUAUCCAUACCUUAUCAUUUACAAUACAAACACCCACACAUCAAUGGGAGAUAAAAUAAAGCACACAUGAAAUUUACAUACCACUUAAGAAACACUAAGAUGUAUAUACAUGGGUAAUGCUAUCCACACACCUUUAUUUACUUUUCACAUACCCCUCUCAAUUUUCAACUGUCUAGUCGAGUGAAUUGAAGGUGAUCAAAAGACAGAAAUUAACAAAUGGCAUGUGAAUAGAACCACCCUGUCUCUUGUCUACUUAAGGCUCGACAAUAAUCUUUCCAGUCGCGUGUCCAUCCAUACUCCUAGCCCAAGCAUCUUCAGCCUUGCUCAGAGAAUACGUCGAGUCGAUUACCGUCUUGAGCUUUCCUUCCUUCACCAACUUAACAAGAUACUCCAAGUUCUCAGCCUUGACAUUCAGAAACAGUGGCACCAGCUGCUUCUUCGAGAAUGUGAGUUUCUUCAGUGCAAAAGUAGCAAAGGCACUUGGACUGGGAGUGAUGUCUAUUACCUUCCCGUUGGUACUCAAAUUAGGCUCAAAAGUUGACCAGGGGAUGCCAGUUGCGCAGUGGACCACAACAUCAUAUUUCCGACCAGAUGGGCUAGUCAGAGCUGCUCCUUCUGGGGUCUUGUAGUCAAGAACCUCAUCUGCCCCUAAGCUCUGGACAAAUUCAAUGUUACGAGCUCCACACGUGGCUGUAACAUGCGUGUUACCGAGCUUUGCUAGUUGGACUGCAUACUGACCCACGCCCCCAGAGGCAGCAGUAAUCAAUAUGUUCUUUUGCUGGCCGCUUCCGUCCAGCUUGAUCCCAGCAGAUUCCGUGAGACACUGGUGAGCUGUGAGGCCAGCAACAGGUAAGCCUGCACCUUCAGCUGCUGAGACUUCAGGUGGCCUGGACACUAUCAAGUUCUCACUAGCUUUAGUGUACUCAGCCAGUCCACCUCCAUUCUAUCCAUACAUAAGAUGACAAUGAAAUUGAGGCACACAUAUAAUAAAUGAGUUCUAAAUGUGAAACUUCUUAUAUGCACAAUUAGAUCUUCAAGAC